rnacentral:rRNA from 1 species
GACGAACGCUGGCGGCGUGCCUAGUACAUGCAAGUUGAGCGCUGAAGGUUGGUACUUGUACCAACUGGAUGAGCAGCGAACGGGUGAGUAACGCGUGGGGAAUCUGCCUUUGAGCGGGGGACAACAUUUGGAAACGAAUGCUAAGACCGCAUAAAAACUUUAAACACAAGUUUUAAGUUUGAAAGAUGCAAUUGCAUCACUCAAAGAUGAUCCCGCGUUGUAUUAGCUAGUUGGUGAGGUAAAGGCUCACCAAGGCGAUGAUACAUAGCCGACCUGAGAGGGUGAUCGGCCACAUUGGGACUGAGACACGGCCCAAACUCCUACGGGAGGCAGCAGUAGGGAAUCUUCGGCAAUGGACGAAAGUCUGACCGAGCAACGCCGCGUGAGUGAAGAAGGUUUUCGGAUCGUAAAACUCUGUUGGUAGAGAAGAACGUUGGUGAGAGUGGAAAGCUCAUCAAGUGACGGUAACUACCCAGAAAGGGACGGCUAACUACGU